rnacentral:rRNA from 1 species
UAUUCCCUACGGGGGGCAGCAGUGGGGAAUAUUGCACAAUGGGGGGAACCCUGAUGCAGCGACGCCGCGUGAGUGAAGAAGUAUUUCGGUAUGUAAAGCUCUGUCAGCAGGGAAGAAGAAAGACGGUACCUGACCAAGAAGCCCCGGCUAACUACGUGCCAGCAGCCGCGGUAAUACGUAGGGGGCAAGCGUUAUCCGGAUUUACUGGGUGUAAAGGGAGCGUAGCCGGCAGGGCAAGUCUGGUGUGAACGGCAGGGGCC